AGGGUACACAACAAGUGUCCUGUAAACACAUAUUGUUAUUUUGAGAUUAUAUUCAAUAAAUUAAAAAUCAGAUUACCUAAGACCACCUCCAUCGGGGGAUUCUUAAGGAGAGUUUCAACCAAAAGUAAAAAAAAAAAAAUGAAAAAAGCAAAAAAAAAGAAAAAACCGCGUCUUAAACUGGGCUUUUUAGGAUCGGUAAGGAACCCUUACGUGGCAAAACCCUAUUCGACCAACCCUUAAUUGCUUUCCCUUCCAUCGACGAUGAACGCUUAAUGGAGAUGUCCAUGAAGUUGAGCGAGGAUUUCACCAAGAAGCUGGGAUUUUCAGAAGAGGGUGAAGAAAUUCGAAAACUCGAGAGAUCUUGGAGUAAACUCGAAGAUUCCAUAGGAAGAGGAAGCAGGAGAGGAAGAAGAGUUCUCGUUUGCUUGUGUAAACGCAGAAGGAUCUCCCGAUCUCCUUUUCGAUCAAAACGACGGCGUUUCAGAGACGGACGACGAGGAGAUUAACCGGCCGCGUCUUAGAAAAGUGUUAGUGGAAUCUCACAUUCCAACUGAAAAGGUAUCUGGUGAAGUCAGCAGUGUGAGAGAUCUCUCAUUCAGGUUGUUCUAAGACUUAGAGAGGAUGUUUUAGGAGAUAGAGGCAGUGUCUCUGCUAGGAAUCCUCCUCCUGCAAGAUCUGAUCAUGCCGGUUUCACACUUCCUCCUGUUGUAUCUUCUGUUCCAGAAUAUGCUUCUGUAGAUUUUGAUCAGGACGAGAGACAGGGGAAAGCAGCUUGGGAAUGGUUUCUUCAGACAGAUUCUAUGGUUAUGAAAGUAGUUUCCCGGCAAGAGAUCAUGGUUUGGUAUCAGUCGGGUCCAUACUCAUAUGGAGGGUAAGUUUUGCAAACUACAACAAAGAACUUGGCUUCUUCUUUAUCACUUUGUUUCAAAUGGUUUAAAACUUUUUUUUCUCGUGUAUUAGUUAUUGUUUGUCUUCUCAAAUACUUGUAAAAAUCUAAAACACUUUCAUUUUACCAAUUGGUUUAAUUUCUUAAAAAAAAAAAAAUUAAGAACCUCAUAGAGGUUCUCCCA